rnacentral:rRNA from 1 species
AAUCAACGCUGGCGGCGUGCCUCAGACAUGCAAGUCGAACGCGAAAGGUUCCUUCGGGAGCCGAGUAGAGUGGCGCUCGGGUGAGUAACACGUAGGUAAUUUGCCUUUGGGUGGGGAAUAACAAUCGGAAACGGUUGUUAAUACCGCAUAAUGCAGCGGCUCGACAUCGAGACAGUUGUUAAAGCGGGGGAUCCUUCGGGACCUCGCGCCUAAAGAGAAGCCUGCGGCGGAUUAGCUAGNGGUGAGGUAAUGGCUCACCAAGGCGACGAUCCGUAACCGGCCUGAGAGGGCGGACGGUCACACUGACACUUAAAUACGGGUCAGACUCCUACGGGAGGCAGCAGUCGGGAAUUUUGGGCAAUGGGCGAAAGCCUGACCCAGCAACGCCGCGUGAA